UUUUGAAGCUCAAUUGGGAAUAAGGAUAAAUUUGGUAGUUUUUGACCGGCUUUAUCACGAAAAGUAAAUAAAAACUAAGCGUGUAGAAAGCUUUUUUAUUACUUGUUUGGACGAGGGUUCGAAUCCCUCCGACUCCACAA
rnacentral:tmRNA from 1 species